CGCCCCGGCUACUCCCACGCCGUGACGGCGAGCUGCAGACGUCUGCGCCGGGUGCUGAUUCCCGUCCUCCUGCUGUCCUGGUACUAGUCUCCUCCUGCCGCACAGCGUCCUCGACUCACCCGCCUCCGGCCACCCUGUAGAGACCCUGCGUGGAUGGAGCCUUCCGAUUCGCUGCUGUCACACACUGAAGACGUUCAGCGUGGUUCGCCAUGGGACCACUCAACUAGAAGGGAGGAACUGCUGGAGUUGAGCGGCUGCACAGGUCAAGAAUUUUGAAGAAGUUACUCAAAGAACAAAAGCAAGCUGGCAGGAUGUAUGGUGGGGUCUGUUCUCUGAAGGUCUUGCAGCUGCAAGGUUUACUUGUGGUGAGAUUCUAAGACUCAAAACUCACGGCACCUCUAUUGUUCAGAAGUGGCCUCGGUUGCGGCGGCGGCGGCAUUGUUCAGCAUGCGGAUGCAGGGAAUCAGCCAGCGGUGACGGCAUGGAGCUGGCAGCUGUGGGGGAUCCAACGGCGACGGCAUCGAGCAAGCUGCUACGAGGUUUCUGGAGGUGGGAACGAGUUUCACAUCACCGGAUUGGCAAGUGCAGCUUUGUACGGUGGUGGAAUUCCAGGUGAUGAAAGGAAAAAUAAUUAAAAUCUGGGCACACGCAGGUUGCACUAUCAAACUCUGCAGCUAAUGGAGGCAUUACCAGUUCAUCAGGUCAAGGGAGAUAACUGCAAUUGUAUUUGGACAUUAGUGGAUUAGCCUGUAUCUCAUUCCCAUCUUUCUCAUGAACCAAUUGCCAGUUCCUGCGGUAACCGUGCAGUCUCACACUCAGUAUUUUGAGUACCAGAGGAAGGAGGUGAAGAUAUAGGAGUGGGUGAGUUGCCAGAAAUCUAAAUGACUAAAUUUGGACUGGCUGCUCAGUGCGGUGUGGUUGUUGAUGAGUUUAUUGCUGCACUGAGAUCAUCUGAUACAAUCAUCAUAGGUGAGGCAAGAGCAGGCGCAUUGGAGCAAAUUAGGAUGAUUGAUAUGAUUCUCAGCAUCUCGGUGCAUUUGGACGUGCGGAUAAUCUAUCCAGAAGUCUCUUAAUGACUACCUUCUUUGCAAUGAAAAUUCUGGAAUACUGUGAUGCACGGUCAUGGCUGCCUAAAUUAAAGACUAAUAUAAAUCUGGCACGAUCAGCUAGGAUGAGGGAUGAGAUGCUGCAUUACCGACGAGCUUCUCUAGUUUAGUAUUGGAGGGUUCCCCUUCCAUUUAAAUAUUUAUCAGUAGUGUGUGCUAGCUAGAUUAGUUUCCCUAUGCCUGCUCCUUUCAUUGUCCAUAUAUACAUGUUACCCUGUUACACAAAUUAACUCGGUGAACAAAUAUGCUGCUAGUAAAGUCAGUCUGUUGUAUUCGA